AUUGAACGCUGGCGGCAGGCCUAACACAUGCAAGUCGAGCGAGCGGCGGACGGGUGAGUAAUGUAUGGGGACUGCCCGAUAGAGGGGGCUCACUCCUGGAAACGGUGGCUAAUCCCGCAUACUAUCGGAUAACCCAUAUGGGAUUAGCUAGUAGGUAAGGUAAUGGCUUACCUAGGCGACGAUCCCUAGCUGGUCUGAGAGGAUGAUCAGCCACACGGGGACUGAGACACGGCCCAGACUCCUACGGAGGCAGCAGGGGGGAAUAUUGCACAAUGGGCGCAAUCCUGAUGCAGCCAGGCCGCGUGUAUGAAGAAGGCCCUAGGGGUGUAAAGUACUUUCAGUGGGGAGGCGUUACCGACAGAAGAAGCACCGGCUAACUCCGUGCCAGCCGCCGCGGUAAUAC
rnacentral:rRNA from 1 species